rnacentral:rRNA from 1 species
GAUGAACGCUGGCGGCGUGCCUAAUACAUGCAAGUCGAGCGAACGGACGAGAAGCUUGCUUCUCUGAUGUUAGCGGCGGACGGGUGAGUAACACGUGGAUAACCUACCUAUAAGACUGGGAUAACUUCGGGAAACCGGAGCUAAUACCGGAUAAUAUUUUGAACCGCAUGGUUCAAAAGUGAAAGACGGUCUUGCUGUCACUUAUAGAUGGAUCCGCGCUGCAUUAGCUAGUUGGUAAGGUAACGGCUUACCAAGGCAACGAUGCAUAGCCGACCUGAGAGGGUGAUCGGCCACACUGGAACUGAGACACUGUCCAGACUCCUACGGGAGGCAGCAGUAGGGAAUCUUCCGCAAUGGGCGAAAGCCUGACGGAGCAACGCCGCGUGAGUGAUGAAGGUCUUCGGAUCGUAAAACUCUGUUAUUAGGGAAGAACAUAUGUGUAAGUAACUGUGCACAUCUUGACGGUACCUAAUCAGAAAGCCACGGCUAACUACGU